GGGCGAUUGGUUUAGUGGUAUAACGACCCCCCUUCGCAUGGGGUAGGUCCUGGUCCUAGGUUCGACUCCUAGAUUGUCCA
rnacentral:tRNA from 1 species